rnacentral:misc_RNA from 1 species
GCAAUAGUGCGUUGGUACCUAAAAUCCCAAACGCGAACGGAACCUAUAAAAGCAAACUCCUUACUCCGAAACCGAAAGAUACUUUUGAGAAGGAGAGCGGCCAUGGUACACCAUCUUAAACUCCUCUGCCCCCCGCACCAAAAAUCUCCAAGCGCCUUACAGAGGGCGUGGAAUCAACGAACCAAUGACCUUCUGCUUACUGGUGAGGAAAGAAUUUUUGACUGGAUUAGAUCAUCACGGUCAAUUGGUCACUGUCUUACAGAUGGUAAAAAGAUUGGACGUGGGUUUCACACUCUGAAAUGGAGAUGUGAGAUUGGAUGGAUUUUUUCUUUUUUACAUCAAUUUAAAAAUUAAAAGCAGUGUCAGUCUUCAAUCAUGAGCCUACGUGUAUUGGAAGUUUUGGGAGAGUAGAAACGUACAGUAAAUAGGUCUGCCCUAAAAAUGAAAGGACCUGAUACUGCCCUAGGAUAAUAAUUAUUUUUCUAAAAAAAAAUAAGUGAAAGAACAACGGUGGCAGACAUGCAUGAAGCCAUGAACAAUGAAAUCUCCACCUUUGAUUGUGAUCUGACAAAUAAUCUACACUUAUGAUGAUUACAAUUUAACAGCUUUAAUCCAAAGACCACUUAUGGAGCUCAGGAGCUACCGUUGAGUUACUCAGCCUCUUCGAAGACUUCAGAAGCAAAGAUCAAGCCUUUAUAAUUCAUACCCUCGAAUCCAUUUCGACUUUGAGCCCUAAUUCCCUGGCUUGGAGCAAGAGAAAAGGACAGAUAAAACCCUAGAUCGAAAGCGACAUAAACGAAGCAGAUAUGUAUAUAUGCACUGCUUGAUGAAUUAGAAGGAAACAAACAAAAUCAGAUAAAUGAAAAGGGGAAAGAGGAUAGUAAAAUGAAAGUUCCCCACCUAAGCCAUACCUGAAGAUCUAGAAAAACCAAACUGAAGACCUGUGAAUGAUGUGUUGCAGAUAAUUGAAACCUGCAAAAGUACUUUGGAUGAUAAAAGGAAGUACCUUUAAGAUAUAUGUUCCUUUCUUUUCCGAUAUUUCCCCCCUCUUCUUACGGAAGUGAAGUUGGGGUGAUAAGAGUAGGGGCCAUGAGGGCAAGAAAGAAUCUACCAAUAUCUUGGUCUUUCUCAAAGGGGAGUGAGAGAGAACCGAUUCAACUGAAGGAUACAUCACGAGGGUUUUACAAAGAGAGACCAACAGAGCUCAGUUGGCAGUAUGCCCACCUCCAUAUCAGAAAGAGAGGAGAUUUCUACAGAGGGGAGGUGGACAGAAUGCCAAUAAACUCUGUAAGAAACCCUUUGUUAAACCUACAUGAAAGCUAAAACUGUACUCCUUGUAUUCACCAUAGGAGGACGACACAAACACACAAAAAUAAGGCGAUAGAAAGUGAAAUAACAAUUUUUUUGGACAAUAGAGAUAGAUGAGGCAGAUGGGUUUAUUUAAGAUGCGAGGACAGCAGCACAGUAAAUGAGAGAGAGAGAGAGAGAG